CAGACAGAUCCUCCCCUAGGCCUCUGGAGGGAGCAUAGCUUUGCUGCUACCUUGAACCUAGAUUUCUAACAUCCAAACGGAUGACCAAGUGUUGGUUGCUUUAGCUGAUGCAGGUGGGAAUCUUUUGUUAUAGCAGCAUCCCAGGUCCUCCCUCCAUCCCAGGCAUUGUCCUUUGGUCCAUUGAUGUAAGAGUACAGGUGAUGAAACUCAUCUCAAGUCCCCAAGAAUUGGCACAGCUCCCUGAUCUGGGGUGCCUGUCUGUUACAAGGUCCCUGCUGCACAGCCUGUUGGGAUGGGCGUUCUGUCCCACGGAUUUGGAGGAGUUGAUGCCACUGUGAGUGCCCUGUGACCCUGGAUCUGCCCCGCCUCUUCUAAGGAUGCCUGUGCUGGCUUACGGGGAGCAUCUCUAUCUCAAGAUCCUGACUGGCAUCAAACUGCAAGGUCCCUUCUGCUGUGGAAGGCUGGUCCCGCUGCCCCAGUGAAAGGACCUGCCAUCAUCUGUAGAGCUGCUACACUGGGACACGUUCCUGCAAGGUGUCUGUGAGGACAGGCUGGGGACAAUGAGUGGAGAGUUUUAGAAGAGCCACCAAGAGACCAGAAGCUUAAACAAGAACAUCUGAGGGCCAUGUCAGUGCCUAGAAACAA